UGAGGAAUAUUGCACAAUGGGCGCAAGCCUGAUGCAGCAACGCCGCGUGCGGGACGAAGGCCUUCGGGUCGUAAACCGCUUUUCUGGGGGAAGAGCAAGGACGGUACCUCAGGAAUAAGUCUCGGCUAACUACGUGCCAGCAGCCGCGGUAAUACGUAGGGGGCAAGCGUUGUCCGGAUUUACUGGGUGUAAAGGGCGCGCAGGCGGGAUAAAAAGUCAGUGGUGAAAUCCUACAGCUUAACUGUAGAACUGCCUUUGAUACUUUUAUUCUUGAGUUCGGGAGAGAGAGACGGAAUUCCAGGUGUAGUGGUGAAAUACGUAGAUAUCUGGAAGAACACCAGUUGCGAAGGCGGUCUCUUGGUCCGACACUGACGCUGAGGCGCGAAAGCGUGGGGAGCAAACA
rnacentral:rRNA from 1 species